rnacentral:rRNA from 1 species
AUGCCACGUGCUGAUGGUCCUUUUAAGGUGUUAGAGAAAAUAAAUGAUAAUGCAUAUAAACUUGAGCUGCCUGCAGAUUUUGGGGUUAGUCCCACUUUUAAUAUUGCAGAUUUGAAGCCUUAUUUGGGUGAGGAAGAUGAGCUUCCGUCGAGGACGACUUCAUUUCAAGAAGGGGAGGAUGAUGAGGACAUCAAUACAAUUAUUACACCCACAGGCCCUGCUGCUAUACAUACUGGACCAAUUACUAGAGCUCGCGCACGCCAAUUAAAUUACCAGGUACUUUCGUUUCUUGCUAAUGAUUCUAAUGUUCAUGAGAAUAUGAUGCUGCCUAAAUUGGAUACAUUUGUUUUGCUUACAAAUGAAGGGCCUAGCUUUGAGAAGGAUGAACAUUGGAGCAAGAACAAGCAUGGAGAUGAUGGCAUGCGCAUGGGGAACAAGAACGGAGUUACAAGUGAUGAUUUCAGGACUUUGAAGCCACCAUAA